UUAAAUCAUUUUAUACACACACAUACAUAUUACUGAAGCGCAGUUUUCCAUCCGCUCCACUAGGCGGCGUACGCGGGCUUCAGGUUUACUCUGUCAGCUUCAGAUGUUUGACAACAUGACGCCUGAUAACAGUCUCCACAACAUGUGCAGUUUGUUUUAUUUAAGCUACAAAUUCAGCAGAUGACAGUUCAGUGACAGACUCAUAAUGUCACUUUACAGCACAUAUUCCAACCCAUAAACAAACAAAACAGACAGACGUUGUGAUAAAGUGCAGGAAUCAAAGAUGUCACACGACUGGCCUAAGGAAUGUGUUUGAACCCAGUCAGCAGAAGCAGAGCUCAGGGACGUGUGGACAGACAUUGACUGUAAUGAUGGACAUCUGCUCAGGCACAGGCAAAAGUAUAACCGCUGCUGGACAUUGUGCCGUAGCUCAGGGGGGGACCCCAUGAUCCCCCACACCUUCUCACUCACACCACACCAUUCACUCUUAUCGCUGAGAUCUGGCUGGACUCGAACCAGCAACCUCUGAACCCGUGAGGCAGCGCUCUUAACCCAUGAGCCACAGAUCUCAUGUCGAGACACAUGAAGGAACUUAUAUUUCACUGCUGGGUUUGACAAUAAACCAGUUAAAGUACAUAUCCAGCUCUCUGAGCCGGGGUUUGAACCCGUGACUCUGCCAUAACCUUCUGUUGAAGUAACGUGUGUUUAGCCACUACACCACCAUGACUUUCACACUGAGUGCUGCCGUUUGAGCCUCUUUGUUGGAAAUAAUGCAUCACAUGGACUUUAACAUAAGCAAUAGCAGGGUUUGAACUCAGGUCUCCUUGAUCACAGCGCAACACUUUAUCUCCUGAGCCACUGGAGCUUGUGAAUCAAUCGUGUGUUUGACUGUCUUAUUGAGAGCUUUGUGUUAUCUGAUGGAAAAAGACAUUUAUUUGAGAGUUUCGAACCCAUGCCACUUUAUCUGUAAGUGACGUGUGUUUAACCACUGCACCAUCAGGGUCUUCACACUGUCAGCUGCGGUGUGGUGCUCUUUGUUGGAUAUACAAUUUAACGCAGGUAAUGGUGGGAUUUGAACUCGGGUCUCCAAGAUUAAAAUACAACACUUUUUAUUUCUUGAGCCACUGAGUCUGAGAUGUUUUUGAGUGUUUUGGACUGAGUUUUAUUGAGGGCUUUGUUUUCUAUGAUGAAAAAUAUUAGCGACAGCAGGAUUUGAACCAAGAACUCCAUGUAUGACAGGCAAAUGAUUUGCCACUGAGCCACAGAGUUUGUGUUGCUGGUUUGGUCCGUUUUUAGUUUAGCUACAGCAUUAAUUAAAACAAUUUAAUGUCAGCAAUGGUGAGGUUUGAACUCAGAACUCCAUGACUGAGAAACAAUGCUUUGUCUCCUAAACCAGUUUUUUUGAAAAGUGAGUUUGGGACACGGUUUUAUUGAGAACUUUUUACAAGCAGCAAUAGGAUUAAUGAGCUGUGAGUGGUAAAUUCAUGUUUAAUAGCUUUAACAUUUAAUAAAGAAUACCCCAAACCAUUUAUUAACCCAAGUUGUAUCAAAUGUAAAAACAAUCACAAAAAUGGUCAUUUAAGAACUUUCUUAUCAAACUCAGACUGGUAAAACAUGCACUUGUUAUAAAGAUAAUUUGUUUAUUCAAAUUAAGUUAAUAAAUAUGAAAUUUUGUCAUGUUUUGUGUCAAAUAAAACAGUCCAACACACCA